rnacentral:rRNA from 1 species
AUCUGCCUACGGGGCGCAGCAGUGGGGGAUAUUGCACAAUGGGGGGAACCCUGAUGCAGCGACGCCGCGUGGGUGAAGGAGCGUUUCGGCGCGUAAAGCCCUAUCGGCAGGGAAGAAGAUGACGGUACCUGACCAAGAAGCCCCGGCCAACUACGUGCCAGCAGCCGCGGGAAUACGCAGGGGGCAAGCGUUAUCCGGAUUUACUGGGGGUUAAGGGGGCGCAGACGGCAAUGCAAGCCCGGAG